AUCUGAGACAAUGAAUACAGUUUGGUUAUCUACAGCUAUUUUCUAUAUUGUAAUAAUUGGAAAGUGGUGGACACUGCCACCAGGCAAUAAAUGGGGUGGGUGAAAUUGGACUUACAUCCUUAUUCAUCAAACGGAAAAUAAAUAAAACUACUCAUUAAAA